GGACAAAAGCUUGGUGGUAGAACAUCAGCCUUGCAUACAGAAGGCUCCAGGUUCAAAUCCUGGGGCUAGGAAUGUCCC